AUUGAACGCUGGCGGCAUGCCUUACACAUGCAAGUCGAACGGCAGCACGGGAGCAAUCCUGGUGGCGAGUGGCGAACGGGUGAGUAAUAUAUCGGAACGUGCCCGGUCGUGGGGGAUAACGUAGCGAAAGCUACGCUAAUACCGCAUACGAUCUACGGAUGAAAGCGGGGGAUCGCAAGACCUCGCGCGAUUGGAGCGGCCGAUAUCAGAUUAGGUAGUUGGUGGGGUAAAGGCUCACCAAGCCAACGAUCUGUAGCUGGUCUGAGAGGACGACCAGCCACACUGGAACUGAGACACGGUCCAGACUCCGUACGGGAGGCAGCAGGUAGGGGUAAUUUUGGACAAGUGGACGACGAAGU
rnacentral:rRNA from 1 species